CCGCCAGCAGCCACCGCCACCACCACCGCCGCCGCCCCCCCGCCGACAUCUUGUGCGGCAGGGCCCGCGCCGCGCCGCGCCGCUCCCGCAGCACCCUCCUGCGGCCGCCGCCCGCCCCGCAGCGCCCCGGGAGCCACGAAUACUCGCAGCAGCCCCGAUCGGUACAUGAAACCACCGGGGCGGAGGCGGUGCGAUCUCUCCAUUUAUUAGAGAAGAGAGAAUCCACGGGGGAGCGUGCCCGUGUUAAUGCUCCCGUUGCAGGGGAUGCUUCAUUUGGGCACCGGGGUUGAGCAGCAGCAAGACCCCAAGUCCUAGGAAAGCAGACCUCAUUAGUUGUGGUGCUCGUGGGAUUCGCUUUGACGUGUAAGUACGCGGAGCUGCUAUUAAAUUCUGUGUUUCCCAGGCAAGGUUUUAAUUAGGCAAAGAUUUGAAUGUGUAUUUAAGUUUAUAUCAAUGGCCCUCUUUAGUAGAGGUGCUUUUUGCAGCUGUGCUCGUUUUCUGUUCUUGGCGGUAGACUCCUUCAGUGAGGCAAUGCAAACUUGUGAUUCUUUAAAACAUAUGCUUGUAAACUUUCAUUGCAUUCAUGCAAAUUAUUUAAGGAGUACAGGUUCAAUGGGAGAUGGGGAGGAAUGAAUCUCACAGAAGCCUUUGCUUUUCACACGGUUAUCACAUCCAUCUGAUCGACCUUGCCUUUCCAUAGCUGUGAAGAACAGAUCACAAGGACCGGGUGCUGGUAUGGUUUCUGCUUAAUUGCUCCAUGAGGAUAUGCUGCAUAUUUAAUCUAGAAUAUAAACUUUUUUAAAUACAAGUGGACUGAAACCCUGGGUAUUUUCAGUUUAUAUUUUUUCCUAGACUCCUUUUUUUUAUCUUCACCCUAAGAAAUCUGAAGGAAUGAUGAAAAUGGGUAUAAUGGGCCUUAAGGCCCAAAUGAAUUUUUCAGACAGAGUAUGUAAUUUUGCCAAAAAACUUAGCAAAAUUGAAUGCAUGACUACCUUUUCGUUUAGCACAUGGCCCUGUCUACAUCUGCUGUAAUACCACGCUUUUGAAUAUUGAUUCCUACUUCAGUGCUUCAGCUGAGACGGAAGAAUGUAGAUGCAAGUGGAAAAUAAAUGCAGAUUUCCAAAACCAAAAUGAGUGAAAGCUUGCUAGGGUCCUGACAACUGCUUUUCUUUAGGUCAGGAAAUGUCCCUUCUUAAAAUAAUCAAGCAGUUGUCCCUUCCUGAAAUAAUGACCAGGCCCAGUCAACUCCCUGCAGACAAGCUCUUCACAAAUACUUAAAAACCCAAUUCCCUGGUGUUUCAGGGAAUUUCCCCAUGUUAUCUGAUGCCUGUGAGAGACAAUUUCAUCCUCUGUAUUUACUAUUCAAUAAAAAUUUAUGCCAGGG